rnacentral:rRNA from 1 species
UACGGAGGGUGCAAGCGUUAUCCGGAUUCACUGGGUUUAAAGGGUGCGUAGGUGGGUUGGUAAGUCAGUGGUGAAAUCCCCGAGCUUAACUUGGGAACUGCCAUUGAUACUAUUAAUCUUGAAUACUGUGGAGGUUAGCGGAAUAUGUCAUGUAGCGGUGAAAUGCUUAGAUAUGACAUAGAACACCAAUUGCGAAGGCAGCUAGCUACACAAAUAUUGACACUGAGGCACGAAAGCGUGGGGAUCAAACAGG